rnacentral:lncRNA from 1 species
AACAGACUUUUUUCCCCAUGUUUAAAUUAUAUUCUGCAAUUUCUAUUGAAUUUUUCAAGUGUGGAACAAAUCUUAUAGACAUGAUAAUAAGUUUAGAAGUUUGAAAGAACUAUAGGCGCUUAGGUUUUUUUGUGUGCGGGGAAUAAAAGGUCGCAACAAACUAAAUUACCGAUUAAAAUUGCUUUUCGGAUAAUAUAAUUGAAGCAGAUGCAACUGCUAUCAUUCAUAUGUUAAUUCGGAAACUCAAAUUAAUGUUUCCUUUAUUCAUAAAUGCAUUUGGCUAAAGGGAAUCGCCGUGGAGUUGCCACAACUCUUCCUUCAGAUGAUGCCGAAAUAUGUUAAAGAAUUAAAAAAAAAAAUCGCAUCUCGAACGACGGAAAUCAUCCGAUGGAUCGUUAAUAGAGACAAAAAUCUACCUGCUGUUACGAGCCUUUUGACCGUGGUGUUCGGCCAUUCGAAAAAGGCAAAACAACAACUCCAUCCUCUUCGAAAAGAUCAUAAAUUAUCAACAAAAAACUUUAUUAUGCUAAAGGGCCAACUUCACACGAAACAGGUUGGUCAGGUGGGCGAGAGAUAAGGAGAACAAUAUUCAAAUUAAUAUCAAGUUCUGGUUACAUUGUAGAAACUCCGUAAAUGGCUUAAAAGUUUUAAAAAUAUUUUGUUUCGAAGCAAUAUUAUCGAAGGAUGGAUGUGCCAUGUUUACUUUGCCGUAUUGCUAAGAAGAACCGGGAGUUGUUCCACUUUUCUACGUUCGCUAAGUUCCACUUAGCCGACACAAUAUUUGGUAUCUUAUCAUGUCGGUGGAGAUAACUUCUAACUGGUUUAAAAGCCACACAAGAUCUUUAAAAACCUGAAAAUUCUGAAAGAUAUUACUCCCAAAAAAAAGGAAACUCGAGUCAUCUCUCUGCAUGUAGUAGGUGUUUAAUCUCUCGUGAUGCGGACGUUCUCAAUUGCAUAAUUUAAAUAAUAAUAAAGUUUCCAGUUUUUAAAUGGAAAUUUUAAUCUCACUUUGUAUCAAAAAAAAUUUUUUUUGCAAUCUUUAGACGGCCAAACGCUCUUUGUAGUGUCUCCGGUCCAAUGAAAAAUGAAAAUGGAUGCAAAUUUGUUUUAUCCGGUAGUUUCCUCCAGGCAAUCGUUAAAUCGACGGUGUCUCCAUCUAUCGAACCAGCCAACAAAAAAUUUAUCAAGAAGAGGAAGAAAGGAAGAGAAAAAAAAAAAGAUUAAUAGUGCCGCGCGUAACGUUUCGAGAUAUCUGCGUUGUUUUAUUCACUUUCGGUUAACUACCGUGGGUCAUUAUAUUUAGGGAGGUAGAAAUAACGUCCCGUCCAUUGUUCGACCAUGCACGACAUCUGUCUCCCACCACACAUUGACCCUGUUUCUGUUGCGUCGUGCCUAGUUCUCCACCCCCGUUCUGCUAUUGUCUCCUUCAAUCCACCGUGGGAACCAUCUCCCACUCGCGGUAGCCUUUUUUUUUUAUUUCGAUUUAUUUAUUAUUAUUAUUAUUUUUUAAUUUGGCGUUACCGAAAACUGCAGGACAGAAUUUUGAGA